rnacentral:rRNA from 1 species
GACGAACGCUGGCGGCGUGCUUAACACAUGCAAGUCGAACGAUGAAGCUGGAGCUUGCUCUGGUGGAUUAGUGGCGAACGGGUGAGUAACACGUGAGUAACCUGCCCUGGACUCUGGGAUAACCCCGAGAAAUCGGAGCUAAUACCGGAUAGGACCUUGCACCGCAUGGUGUGGGGUGGAAAGUUUUUCGGUCUGGGAUGGACUCGCGGCCUAUCAGCUUGUUGGUGAGGUAAUGGCUCCCCAAGGCGUCGACGGGUAGCCGGCCUGAGAGGGCGACCGGCCACACUGGGACUGAGACACGGCCCAGACUCCUACGGGAGGCAGCAGUGGGGAAUAUUGCACAAUGGGCGCAAGCCUGAUGCAGCAACGCCGCGUGCGGGAUGACGGCCUUCGGGUUGUAAACCGCUUUUAGUAAGGAAGAAGGGGCUUCGGCCUUGACGGUACUUGCAGAAAAAGGACCGGCUAACUACGUGCCAGCAGCCGCGGUAAAAC